rnacentral:rRNA from 1 species
GUGUCAGCAGCCGCGGUAAUACGGAGUGUGCAAGCGUUACUCGGAAUCACUGGGCAUAAAGGGCGUGUAGGCGGGCUUUCAAGUCGGUUGUGAAAUCCCUCAGCUCAACUGAGGAACUGCAUCCGAUACUGUUUGUCUUGAGGACGAGAGGGGAGAGUGGAACUUCUGGUGGAGCGGUGAAAUGCGUAGAUAUCAGAAGGAACGCCGGUGGCGAAAGCGACUCUCUGGCUCGUAUCUGACGCUGAAACGCGAAAGCUUGGGUAGCAAACGGGAUUAGAUACCCCCGUAGUCC